AUACGGAGGGUGCAAGCGUUAUCCGGAUUUAUUGGGUUUAAAGGGUGCGCAGGCGGACCUGUCAGUCAGUGGUGAAAUCCCGGGGCUCAACCCCGGAACUGCCAUUGAUACUACAGGUCUUGAAUACGAUUGAAGUAGGCGGAAUGUAGCAUGUAGCGGUGAAAUGCAUAGAUAUGCUACCGAACACCGAUCGCGAAGGCAGCUUACUAAGCCGAUAUUGACGCUCAGGCACGAAAGCGUGGGUAGCGAACAGAAUUAGAAACCCUUGUAGUCC
rnacentral:rRNA from 1 species